rnacentral:rRNA from 1 species
AGCGAACGCUGGCGGCAGGCUUAACACAUGCAAGUCGAACGAAGUCUUCGGACUUAGUGGCGCACGGGUGAGUAACACGUGGGAAUGUACCUUUUGGUUCGGGAUAACAUCGGGAAACGUGUGCUAAUACCGCAUACGCCCCUUGGGGGAAAGAUUUAUCGCCAUUAGAGCAGCCCGCGUUAGAUUAGCUAGUUGGUGGGGUAAAGGCCCACCAAGGCUACGAUCUAUAGCUGGUCGGAGAGGAUGAUCAGCCACACUGGGACUGAGACACGGCCCAGACUCCUACGGGAGGCAGCAGUGGGGAAUCUUGGGCAAUGGUCGAAAUACUGACGCAGCCAUGCCGCGUGAAUGAUGAAGGUCUUAGGAUUGUAAAAUUCUUUUACCAUGGACGAUGAUGGCGUUACCUGGAGAAAAAGCUCCGGCUAACUUCGUGCCAGCAGCCGCGGUAACAC